rnacentral:rRNA from 1 species
GACGAACGCUGGCGGCGUGCUUAACACAUGCAAGUCGAACGGUGAAGCGCUUGCCUUUUUGGUGGGUGUGGAUGAGUGGCGAACGGGUGAGUAACACGUGAGUAACCUGCCCUCUUCUUCUGGAUAACCUCAUGAAAGUGGGGCUAAUACGGGGUAUUCCGGGUCUGUCGCAUGGCGGGUUUGGGAAAGAUUGCGCCUUUGGGUGUUUUCGGUGGGGGAUGGGCUCGCGGCCUAUCAGCUUGUUGGUGGGGUGAUGGCCUACCAAGGCGGUGACGGGUAGCCGGCCUGAGAGGGUGGGCGGCCACACUGGGACGGAGACACGGCCCGGACUCCUGCGGGAGGCAGCAGUGGGGAAUAUUGCACAAUGGGCGCAAGCCUGAUGCAGCGACGCCGCGUGAGGGAUGGAGGCCUUCGGGUUGUGAACCUCUUUCGCCAGUGAAGCAGGCCUGCCUCGUUUGUGGGUGGGUUGACGGUAGCUGGAUAAGAAGCGCCGGCUAACUACGUG